rnacentral:sRNA from 1 species
GGAUGUGAGGGUGAACUGGCUGCAACAUCUGUCACCCCAUUGAUAACCAGGGUUGAUUUGGAUGAUCUUGCUGGCUAGGUGGGUAUCCUCUACCUCCCUCACCGCUCUAUGUGUGUCCCUCCUGAAACUGCGUGCUUGUGGAAGAGGAUGACCUUCCCUGAAUUGAGGAGGCCCAGUAUUUGGUCAAGGGUAUAUAAGUAGUUGUGUUACCCUGCUAGAACCUCCAAACAAGCUCUCCAAUAUCCAUUUAAUGCACUCCUCUCUUUCCAUU